AACGAACGCUGGCGGCAUGCCUAACACAUGCAAGUCGAACGAAGCCUUCGGGCUUAGUGGCGCACGGGUGCGUAACGCGUGGGAAUCUGCCCUUGGGUUCGGAAUAACAGUUAGAAAUGACUGCUAAUACCGGAUGAUGUUUUCGGACCAAAGAUUUAUCGCCCAAGGAUGAGCCCGCGUAGGAUUAGGUAGUUGGUGGGGUAAUGGCCCACCAAGCCGACGAUCCUUAACUGGUCUGAGAGGAUGAUCAGCCAAACUGGGACUGAGACACGGCCCAGACUCCUACGGGAGGCAGCAGUGGGGAAUAUUGGACAAUGGGCGAAAGCCUGAUCCAGCAAUGCCGCGUGAGUGAUGAAGGCCUUAGGGUUGUAAAGCUCUUUUACCAGGGAUGAUAAUGACAGUACCUGGAGAAUAAGCUCCGGCUAACUCCGUGCCAGCCGCCGCGGUAA
rnacentral:rRNA from 1 species